UAUGGAGAGUUUGAUCCUGGCUCAGGAUGAACGCUGGCGGCGUGCCUAAUACAUGCAAGUCGAGCGAACGGACGAGAAGCUUGCUUUUCUGAUGUUAGCGGCGGACGGGUGAGUAACACGUGGAUAACCUACCUAUAAGACUGGGAUAACUUCGGGAAACCGGAGCUAAUACCGGAUAAUAUUUUGAACCGCAUGGUUCAAAAGUGAAAGACGGUCUUGCUGUCACUUAUAGAUGGAUCCGCGCUGCAUUAGCUAGUUGGUAAGGUAACGGCUUACCAAGGCAACGAUGCAUAGCCGACCUGAGAGGGUGAUCGGCCACACUGGAACUGAGACACGGUCCAGACUCCUACGGGAGGCAGCAGUAGGGAAUCUUCCGCAAUGGGCGAAAGCCUGACGGAGCAACGCCGCGUGAGUGAUGAAGGUCUUCGGAUCGUAAAACUCUGUUAUUAGGGAAGAACAUAUGUGUAAGUAACUGUGCACAUCUUGACGGUACCUAAUCAGAAAGCCACGGCUAACUACGUGCCAGCAGCCGCGGUAAUACGUAGGUGGCAAGCGUUAUCCGGAAUUAUUGGGCGUAAAGCGCGCGUAGGCGGUUUUUUAAGUCUGAUGUGAAAGCCCACGGCUCAACCGUGGAGGGUCAUUGGAAACUGGAAAACUUGAGUGCAGAAGAGGAAAGUGGAAUUCCAUGUGUAGCGGUGAAAUGCGCAGAGAUAUGGAGGAACACCAGUGGCGAAGGCGACUUUCUGGUCUGUAACUGACGCUGAUGUGCGAAAGCGUGGGGAUCAAACAGGAUUAGAUACCCUGGUAGUCCACGCCGUAAACGAUGAGUGCUAAGUGUUAGGGGGUUUCCGCCCCUUAGUGCUGCAGCUAACGCAUUAAGCACUCCGCCUGGGGAGUACGACCGCAAGGUUGAAACUCAAAGGAAUUGACGGGGACCCGCACAAGCGGUGGAGCAUGUGGUUUAAUUCGAAGCAACGCGAAGAACCUUACCAAAUCUUGACAUCCUUUGACAACUCUAGAGAUAGAGCCUUCCCCUUCGGGGGACAAAGUGACAGGUGGUGCAUGGUUGUCGUCAGCUCGUGUCGUGAGAUGUUGGGUUAAGUCCCGCAACGAGCGCAACCCUUAAGCUUAGUUGCCAUCAUUAAGUUGGGCACUCUAAGUUGACUGCCGGUGACAAACCGGAGGAAGGUGGGGAUGACGUCAAAUCAUCAUGCCCCUUAUGAUUUGGGCUACACACGUGCUACAAUGGACAAUACAAAGGGCAGCGAAACCGCGAGGUCAAGCAAAUCCCAUAAAGUUGUUCUCAGUUCGGAUUGUAGUCUGCAACUCGACUACAUGAAGCUGGAAUCGCUAGUAAUCGUAGAUCAGCAUGCUACGGUGAAUACGUUCCCGGGUCUUGUACACACCGCCCGUCACACCACGAGAGUUUGUAACACCCGAAGCCGGUGGAGUAACCUUUUAGGAGCUAGCCGUCGAAGGUGGGACAAAUGAUUGGGGUGAAGUCGUAACAAGGUAGCCGUAUCGGAAGGUGCGGCUGGAUCACCUCCUU
rnacentral:rRNA from 1 species